UGUUCUCGAAGAAUCCGCUCGAUUGGUA
rnacentral:sRNA from 1 species